rnacentral:rRNA from 1 species
AUUGAACGCUGGCGGCAUGCUUUACACAUGCAAGUCGAACGGUAACAGGGUGCUUGCACCGCUGACGAGUGGCGAACGGGUGAGUAAUGCGUCGGAACGUGCCGAGUAGUGGGGGAUAACGCAGCGAAAGUUGUGCUAAUACCGCAUACGUACUGAGGUAGAAAGUGGGGGACCUUCGGGCCUCACGCUAUUCGAGCGGCCGACGUCUGAUUAGCUAGUAGGUGAGGUAAAGGCUCACCUAGGCGACGAUCAGUAGCGGGUCUGAGAGGAUGAUCCGCCACACUGGGACUGAGACACGGCCCAGACUCCUACGGGAGUCAGCAGUGGGGAAUUUUGGACAAUGGGCGAAAGCCUGAUCCAGCCAUGCCGCGUGUCUGAAGAAGGCCUUCGGGUUGUAAAGGACUUUUGUCGGGGAGGGAAUCCCCAGCGCUAAUACCGCUGGGGGAUGACAGUACCUGAAGAAUAAGCACCGGCUAACUACGUGCCAGCAGCCGCCGUAAAAC